GCUUGCAUCGCUAGCCGCAUUCAGUGGGCGCAUUCGUAAUGCGUAGGUCGCAGGUUCGACUCCUGUUUCCGGCACCA
rnacentral:tRNA from 1 species